CUCCUAAGGCUAAAUACUCUCUAGUGACCGAUAGUGAACCAGUACCGUGAGGGAAAGGUGAAAAGCACCCCGGAAGGGGAGUGAAAUAGAACCUGAAACCGUGUGCUUACAAGUAGUCAGAGCCCGUUAAUGGGUGAUGGCGUGCCUUUUGUAGAAUGAACCGGCGAGUUACGAUUUGAUGCAAGGUUAAGCAGUAAAUGUGGAGCCGUAGCGAAAGCGAGUCUGAAUAGGGCGUUUAGUAUUUGGUCGUAGACCCGAAACCAGGUGAUCUACCCUUGGUCAGGUUGAAGUUCAGGUAACACUGAAUGGAGGACCGAACCGACUUACGUUGAAAAGUGAGCGGAUGAACUGAGGGUAGCGGAGAAAUUCCAAUCGAACCUGGAGAUAGCUGGUUCUCUCCGAAAUAGCUUUAGGGCUAGCCUCAAGUGAUGAUUAUUGGAGGUAGAGCACUGUUUGGACGAGGGGCCCCUCUCGGGUUACCGAAUUCAGACAAACUCCGAAUGCCAAUUAAUUUAACUUGGGAGUCAGAACAUGGGUGAUAAGGUCCGUGUUCGAAAGGGAAACAGCCCAGACCACCAGCUAAGGUCCCAAAAUAUAUGUUAAGUGGAAAAGGAUGUGGCGUUGCCCAGACAACUAGGAUGUUGGCUUAGAAGCAGCCAUCAUUUAAAGAGUGCGUAAUAGCUCACUAGUCGAGUGACACUGCGCCGAAAAUGUACCGGGGCUAAACAUAUUACCGAAGCUGUGGAUUGUCCUUUGGACAAUGGUAGGAGAGCGUUCUAAGGGCGUUGAAGCAUGAUCGUAAGGACAUGUGGAGCGCUUAGAAGUGAGAAUGCCGGUGUGAGUAGCGAAAGACGGGUGAGAAUCCCGUCCACCGAUUGACUAAGGUUUCCAGAGGAAGGCUCGUCCGCUCUGGGUUAGUCGGGUCCUAAGCUGAGGCCGACAGGCGUAGGCGAUGGAUAACAGGUUGAUAUUCCUGUACCACCUAUAAUCGUUUUAAUCGAUGGGGGGACGCAGUAGGAUAGGCGAAGCGUGCGAUUGGAUUGCACGUCUAAGCAGUAAGGCUGAGUAUUAGGCAAAUCCGGUACUCGUUAAGGCUGAGCUGUGAUGGGGAGAAGACAUUGUGUCUUCGAGUCGUUGAUUUCACACUGCCGAGAAAAGCCUCUAGAUAGAAAAUAGGUGCCCGUACCGCAAACCGACACAGGUAGUCAAGAUGAGAAUUCUAAGGUGAGCGAGCGAACUCUCGUUAAGGAACUCGGCAAAAUGACCCCGUAACUUCGGGAGAAGGGGUGCUCUUUAGGGUUAACGCCCAGAAGAGCCGCAGUGAAUAGGCCCAAGCGACUGUUUAUCAAAAACACAGGUCUCUGCUAAACCGUAAGGUGAUGUAUAGGGGCUGACGCCUGCCCGGUGCUGGAAGGUUAAGAGGAGUGGUUAGCUUCUGCGAAGCUACGAAUCGAAGCCCCAGUAAACGGCGGCCGUAACUAUAACGGUCCUAAGGUAGCGAAAUUCCUUGUCGGGUAAGUUCCGACCCGCACGAAAGGCGUAACGAUUUGGGCACUGUCUCAACGAGAGACUCGGUGAAAUCAUAGUACCUGUGAAGAUGCAGGUUACCCGCGACAGGACGGAAAGACCCCGUGGAGCUUUACUGUAGCCUGAUAUUGAAAUUCGGCACAGCUUGUACAGGAUAGGUAGGAGCCUUUGAAACGUGAGCGCUAGCUUACGUGGAGGCGCUGGUGGGAUACUACCCUAGCUGUGUUGGCUUUCUAACCCGCACCACUUAUCGUGGUGGGAGACAGUGUCAGGCGGGCAGUUUGACUGGGGCGGUCGCCUCCUAAAAGGUAACGGAGGCGCUCAAAGGUUCCCUCAGAAUGGUUGGAAAUCAUUCAUAGAGUGUAAAGGCAUAAGGGAGCUUGACUGCGAGACCUACAAGUCGAGCAGGGUCGAAAGACGGACUUAGUGAUCCGGUGGUUCCGCAUGGAAGGGCCAUCGCUCAACGGAUAAAAGCUACCCCGGGGAUAACAGGCUUAUCUCCCCCAAGAGUUCACAUCGACGGGGAGGUUUGGCACCUCGAUGUCGGCUC
rnacentral:rRNA from 1 species